rnacentral:lncRNA from 1 species
AAUAAAUCAUGCAGACGACCAUGUAAGUAUAACAUCAAUCUGUCUAGGGCCCGGGGUGGAAUAAACAUUUAUUUAUGUUUUCUAUAACCUGGAACAUGUCAAGUCUUCUUAAGAUAAAUAAACUCAUAAUAUGGAGCACAAAAAUGAGUUUACAAAGUGAAAAAAAAAAAAAAAUAGACAACAAUUUGGAUGGGUGUCGUUCAUAGAGUUUGGGCAAAUGUUUCUCUCACCACAAAACAUCAAUAUAACAAUAAAUGAGGUCGUUGCCAAACAUAAUAGCAGAGAUUACAUAAAAAAAUAAACACAACUACGCAUGUUCAGUGACCAUUUAUCGAACUUUAUAGCUUUUAAGGCUUGUCAUUACAAUUAUUGUAAACGACUGUAAAUACAUUUUAAUCACCUAAAUGCUGAUGUGUGAUGGAGUUUGUUUAAGUGUUUAUAUUUACGGUCUCGGACGAGAGGCGGAGCUACGUCUAGCUAGGCUAACAGUUGUGCAGCCAGAAUUAUACUUUCCAAAUGCACCUUGCUCCUCCUCCAGCUUCACCUGGGCCAUGUUUCAGUGGCUCUGCCCUCUUUAAAGAGAAACUUUGAGGCUCUGAGGGUCGAUUCUGUUCGGAGCUAACACCGCACGGCAGCCAUGUUUGUUUAUGCUUUUGGUCUUCUUCUCUCUGCUCAUACACGCUCACACUGCCCUCUAGCGCUCAGAGGUUUCUAUAACACAAUAAUACACUCGACUCUUUCUGCCUUUUAUUUGGGCAAUAUCAUUAGAAUUCUAAGCAUAGAAAAAUACAGUGGUUAUGCUGUACAAAAUGAAUGUCCAAACCAAUGCAGAAAGACACUUUCUUUAACCCACGGCCAGUUGACCCGGGACAAGAACUUUUCACAUGGGUCCCCCUACGGCCCUACCCCCGACCCUUCCAGUGACAACUGCUUUCCACAGAAUAAUAUUAGUUUCAUAGACAAUAUUUUUGGGCCAUAUGCCACAAUUUGGCACCACUGUUCUGUCAUCAUUCUCUUAAUUUGGUCGUGGUUUAAAGAACACUUCACUCACUCAUAGGCACAUUGAGUUACCUUGUGUAUGAAAUGCACGGUAUAAAUAAAGUUGCCUUGCCUUGCCUCAUCAUUUCAUAAACUGUAGGCGAAUUAGUUGUAGUUGGUGUAGAAUGCAAUUUCUUGAAUCAUCUUUCUCCUGUGCACGACUUAAAGCGUUUGUAUAAACUGCUAAUCAAGGUAAAACGCUUGCACGAACUGGACAUUUGAACACUUACUCCCCAGUCCUCAUGUGC